rnacentral:rRNA from 1 species
AUUGAACGCUGGCGGCAGGCCUAACACAUGCAAGUCGAGCGGGGUUUUCGGACCUAGCGGCGGACGGGUGAGUAAUGCGUAGGAAGCUACCCGAUAGAGGGGAUACCAGUUGGAAACGACUGUUAAUACCGCAUAAUGUCUACGGACCAAAGUGUGGGACCUUCGGGCCACAUGCUAUCGGAUGCGCCUACGUGGGAUUAGCUAGUUGGUGAGGUAAUGGCUCACCAAGGCGACGAUCUCUAGCUGGUUUGAGAGGAUGAUCAGCCACACUGGAACUGAGACACGGCCCAGACUCCUACGGGAGGCAGCAGUGGGGAAUUUGGACAAUGGGCGAAAGCCUGAUCCAGCAAUGCCGCGUGCAGGAAGAAGGCCUUCGGUUGGUAACUAGCUUUGUUACGGAACGAAAGGACUCUU